rnacentral:rRNA from 1 species
AUUAGCUAGAUGGUAAGGUAACGGCUUACCAUGGCUACGAUGUCUAGGGGUUCUGAGAGGAAGAUCCCCCACACUGGAACUGAGACACGGUCCAGACUCCUACGGGAGGCAGCAGUGAGGAAUAUUGGACAAUGGAUGGAAAUCUGAUCCAGCCAUGCCGCGUGCAGGAAGACGGCCCUAUGGGUUGUAAACUGCUUUUAUAUGGGAGCAAUAAGACCUACGUGUAGGUUGAUGAGAGUACCAUAUGAAUAAGCACCGGCUAACUCCGUGCCAGCAGCCGCGGUAAUACGGAGGGUGCAAGCGUUAUCCGGAUUUAUUGGGUUUAAAGGGUGCGUAGGCGGUUUGAUAAGUCAGCGGUGAAAUAUUUCAGCUUAACUGGAAGGGUGCCGUUGAUACUGUCAGGCUUGAAUUUAGUUGCUGUGGGUGGAAUGUGUGGUGUAGCGGUGAAAUGCAUAGAUAUCACACAGAAUAUCGAUUGCGAAGGCAGCUCACAAAGCUAAUAUUGACGCUGAUGCACGAAAGUGUGGGGAUCAAACAGGAUUAGAUACCCUGGUAGUCCACACUGUAAAC